UACGUAGGGUGCGAGCGUUGUCCGGAAUUAUUGGGCGUAAAGAGCUUGUAGGCGGUUUGUCGCGUCUGCUGUGAAAUCUCAAGGCUCAACCUUGAGCUUGCAGUGGGUACGGGCAGACUAGAGUGUGGUAGGGGAGACUGGAAGUUCCUGGUGUAGCGGUGAAAUGCGCAGAUAUCAGGAGGAACACCGAUGGCGAAGGCAGGUCUCUGGGCCACUACUGACGCUGAGAAGCGAAAGCAUGGGGAGCGAACAGG
rnacentral:rRNA from 1 species